rnacentral:lncRNA from 1 species
GCCCUGUAUUUUCAUGUAUAUAAUUUAUGUAUAGCAGUGUAUACAACAUGUAUACAGCUCUUUUUUGGAGCUUUUGGAGGCUUGGUCAUCAAUUUCCAGCAUGUAUAUUGCCUCCAUUUCACUCGAUCAAGAUGGUGCUGACUCGAAGAAUUUCAACUCGGAAAAAUGCAAAAAAAGGGAGUCCAAAAGGACUCAGGUUGAUGCACAUACAAAGAAAAUGGAAGCAACAUUAGCCAAGUCGCAUGAGAAUAUUCUAGCAACGUUUCAAAGAGUAAACUAUACCAGAAAGCAUUUUACUAAAUGUUUUCAGACAUAUCUUAACAAGAGUUUCUUAACACAAGGACAUGUAAAGGACACGUAUUUCAUUAAUUCAAACAAUUAUGCUAUAAUCAAAUAAUAAAUUGUGAAGUAGCAACAUUCACCAAACUAAUCAGUAAAACAUAAUUGGAAUCACAACAAGAGGAAAUUAAAUCUAAAAAAAAAGAGAAGCAAAUGGAUCAAAUUGUUACCAAUAUUUACACGGGAACACUUAAGGGAAAAAAAAACCCACUACAUGAAGCAUAUGUUUAAAGGAGAGAAAUCACAAUAAAUAUAAAGCUAAUUAGAAUCAAGCCAUUCUGCAAUUUUAACAAAUAGACACUAAUUACUAUGUCAAUUAUUUAAAGCCAACCUUCUGUAACUUAAAGCAACAAUGAGAUAUUAAAGCAUUAUUUAACAUGAUAAGGGAACGAAAAGAAAACACUAAUUUAAACCAAUAUUUGUAUCCUAUAAGGCAGUGAAUGUCUCAUAACAAGAAAAAUAAUAAACACAGAAAAGAGAGGUAACAAACUUGAAUUAGCCAAUUUAUUAAUCCAUUUCAUACUUAGAGCUUCACUAAUCUGGACAAAACUUCAAAAUUUUAACAAAAUCAACACAAGCUUGGGUCCAUAAUGUCAACGAUAUAGUGAGGAACAUGAUAAAGGCAUUUGAGACAUGAUGAAAUAGUGAUGUUAGAGAUCAAAUUCGAUACUUCAGAUGCGCAAAUGAGAAACUAAACCACAAUGAAAUCCAUAAUGGACUAAAUGUCGAGAAGCCACUAAACAAUAAGAAAUGAAAUCAACAGAGAACAUUAAAACAGAAGCAAACCAGAACUGAACUCAAAUCUACGAACUAAACAACAUCUUGGCUAAGAUAGAUUAAGAUGUUAAACGAAGUUUACCUUCUUAGGAGCAGCGAAUCUGAGACAGGACGAGCAGGGCAGCAACAAACUUCUUCCAACACCACAAAAUUUGAAUUUCGAGCAGCUAACUACGGAGUGCAAACCGGACUCGAGCAAAGAUUUGCUCACAACUUAGGAUUAGAGAAAAACGUAUGAUAUUUCUUAAGUAUAAGAAUGAUUGUUCUCUAACAAAUUUUCGAAAACCCAAAAUCUCUCUUUUUAACCAAAAAAAAAUCCCCCUCCCCAACCAAGAACAAGAAGAGGGCAUUUAUAGAAAGGGAAUUGGGGGGGAAAGGGUGGAUUUUCGAAUUUGAAAAUCAAAUUCCUCUGCCCCUUUCCGAGAUAACCGUAAAAAGCUUUUGAAAAUCCCUUAAAAUGGGGAAAAUGGGACAUGAGGAUGAUGGGUCUGCAGGGUAUGAGUUUUGCAGAGUAGUUGGACAGGAUUUCCGCGUGAGGAAGACGGUAUGGGCAGUGGGGUCGUGGCUUUUCUCCGGAUUUGCCGGAUUGAUGAGACUGUCGGAGAAGACGGGGGAGUGGGGUCGUUUUGGACUUCUGCUCACGUUUGCUGAAGCUGCGAGGAAGAAGACGCGUAGGGGUCUGGGUUGUGUAUACGUACUGGUAUUGUACACUGCUGGGUAUUGUUGAUGUGUGGGUCUGCUUGAUGUAUUGUUGCUGUAAACAGGAAUGGGCUGGGUUAUGUAUUGGAAAGGGUUUUGGGCUUGGUAUUAAAAGAAUUAAGCUCAUAUUUGGGUCUGGAAAUAGGAGGAAUUGGGCCGUGGGAACAGGCCCAUUUUGGUCUUUAAAGGAUUAAGAAUAGGAUAAGAAAUUGACUAAAAAUUGCAACAAGACAAAUUUUCAUAAAUUAAUUAACGAGCUUCUUAAUCUCAACGAAAUAAAAAAUAAUUAACUCAAUUAUAAACUAAUUAACUCAAUUACAAAACCAAUUAACUCGAAAUCAUAACUAUAAUUUAAAGUAAAUUAAUAAAAUAUUUAACUAAAAUGCAAAAUCUUUUGUGACGAUUUUCGAAUAUUUAUAAAAUGACGUGAUUGCAAAAUAUACAUAUUUAUUAUUAAAAGAUGAUAAAAUUACUUUAAAAUAACUUGAAAGUAUUUUGAAUUUCAUAAAACUCAUUAAUUCAAAAUUAUAACCAUCCCUAAUAUUUAAAAUAUAAUUAUUAUAUUUUGACGAUUUUCGAAUAAUCAUAAAAUAUACUAAUCAUAUACAUAAUUAUGUAAAACAUAUACAUCAUUUAAAAUUUAUGAAAAGUGACAAACUAUUUAAAAAUCUUGCAAACUAUAUUAUUAUUAUCUAUUUAUUUUUAUUAUUAUUAUUUAUUUAUUUUAGAAAUUUUAUAAAACUAAUAAUUUUAGAUCGUUUGAAAUUGGUGAAGCUCGAAAUGAUUAAUUUAUAUUGUGGAGGGUCAAAAAUUGGGUGUCAACAGGUAAUAUCUCAUAUGAUCACUCAACUUUGAAUACUUAACUUUGAAAGUCACUCAGCUUUGUUUUAUAACUCAAAAGUCACUCAACUAUUGAUAUUUCACUUAGAAAGUCACUCAACAAUUAAUAUUUCAUUUAUAUAGUCACCCAAUCGACUUAAAUGUUUU